AAUAUUGGACAAUGGGCGAAAGCCUGAUCCAGCCAUGCCGCGUGUGUGAAGAAGGUCNNNGGAUUNUCAAGCACUUUAAGACGNGACNAAGGGGCUGAAGCUAAUACCUUGAAUCUUUGACGUUACCAACAGAAUAAGCACCGGCUAACUCUGUGCCAGCAGCCGCGGUAAUACAGAGGGUGCAAGCGUUAAUCGGAAUUACUGGGCGUAAAGCGCGCGUAGGUGGUUAGUUAAGUUGGAAGUGAAAGCCCCGGGCUUAACCUGGGAAUUGCUUUCAAAACUGACGAGCUAGAGUACGGUAGAGGGUAGUGGAAUUUCCUGUGUAGCGGUGAAAUGCGUAGAUAUAGGAAGGAACACCAGUGGCGAAGGCGACUACCUGGACUGAUACUGACACUGAGGUGCGAAAGCGUGGGGAGCAAACAGG
rnacentral:rRNA from 1 species